rnacentral:rRNA from 1 species
AACGGAGAGUUUGAUCCUGGCUCAGGAUGAACGCUGGCGGCGUGCCUAACACAUGCAAGUCGAACGAUUAAGGCGCCUUCGGGCGCGAAUAGAGUGGCGAACGGGUGAGUAACACGUGACCAACCUGCCCCCCUCCCCGGGAUAACGCGAGGAAACCCGCGCUAAUACCGGAUACUCCGCCCCUCCCGCAUGGGAGGGGCGGGAAAGCCCCGACGGAGGGGGAUGGGGUCGCGGCCCAUUAGGUAGACGGCGGGGCAACGGCCCACCGUGCCUGCGAUGGGUAGCCGGGUUGAGAGACCGACCGGCCACAUUGGGACUGAGAUACGGCCCAGACUCCUACGGGAGGCAGCAGUGGGGAAUUUUGCGCAAUGGGGGGAACCCUGACGCAGCAACGCCGCGUGCGGGACGAAGGCCUUCGGGUUGUAAACCGCUUUCAGCAGGGAAGAAGUUGACGGUACCUGCAGAAGAAGCCCCGGCUAACUACGUGCCAGCAGCCGCGGUAAUACGUAGGGGGCGAGCGUUAUCCGGAUUCAUUGGGCGUAAAGCGCGCGUAGGCGGGCUUCUAAGCGGAACCUCUAACCCGAGGGCUCAACCCCCGGCCGGGUUCCGAACUGGAAGCCUCGAGUCUGGUAGAGGAAGAUGGAAUUCCCGGUGUAGCGGUGGAAUGCGCAGAUAUCGGGAAGAACACCGAUGGCGAAGGCAGUCUUCUGGGCCGCGACUGACGCUGAGGCGCGAAAGCUGGGGGA